rnacentral:rRNA from 1 species
AACAAGGUUUCCGUAGGUGAACCUGCGGAAGGAUCAUUAUUGAAUAAACCUAGUAAGUUGUCGCUGGCUCCUUGGAGCAUGUGCACACUUGCUGUUUUUAUAUCUCCACCUGUGCACUUUUUGUAGACAUGGAUAUCUUUCGAGGAAACUCGGUUUGAGGACUGCUGGCUUCGCAAGAGGUCAGCUUUCCUUACAUUUCCUGUCUAUGUUUUCAUAUACUCUUAUAAUGUUAUAGAAUGUCUAUUUAUUGGCUUCAUUGCCUUUAAACUAUAUACAACUUUCAACAACGGAUCUCUUGGCUCUCGCAUCGAUGAAGAACGCAGCGAAAUGCGAUAAGUAAUGUGAAUUGCAGAAUUCAGUGAAUCAUCGAAUCUUUGAACGCACCUUGCGCUCCUUGGUAUUCCGAGGAGCAUGCCUGUUUGAGUGUCAUUAAAUUCUCAACCUUUCCUACUUUUACUAGUCAGGUCAGGCUUGGAUAUGGGGGUUGCGGGCUUCUCAAGAAGUCGGCUCUCCUUAAAUGUAUUAGCAGAACCUUUGUGGAACAGCUAUUGGUGUGAUAAUUAUCUACGCCAUUGGUUGUGAAGCUUUACAAUGGGGUUCAGCUUCUAACCGUCUAUUAACUUGGACAAUCUUUGACAUUUUGACCUCAAAUCAGGUAGGACUACCCGCUGAAC